GACAGAGGGUGCAAACGUUGCUCGAAAUCACUGGGCGUAAAGGGCGCGUAGGCGGCUUGGCAAGUGGAUGGUGAAAUCCCUCGGCUUAACCGAGGAACUGCCGUCCAAACUGCUUCGCUUGAGACCGGGAGAGGUGAGUGGAAUUCCCAGUGUAGCGGUGAAAUGCGUAGAUAUUGGGAGGAACACCAGUGGCGAAGGCGGCUCACUGGACCGGUACUGACGCUGAUGCGCGAAAGCGUGGGGAGCAAACGGG
rnacentral:rRNA from 1 species